rnacentral:rRNA from 1 species
UGGGGAAUAUUGGACAAUGGGCGAAAGCCUGAUCCAGCAAUGCCGCGUGGGUGAAGAAGGUCUUCGGAUCGUAAAGCCCUUUCGACGGGGACGAUGAUGACGGUACCCGUAGAAGAAGCCCCGGCUAACUUCGUGCCAGCAGCCGCGGUAAUACGAAGGGGGCGUAGCGUUGCUCGGAAUUACUGGGCGUAAAGGGCGCGUAGGCGGCGGCCCAAGUCAGGCGUGAAAUUCCUGGGCUCAACCUGGGGACGUGCGCUUGAUACUGGGUUGCUUGAGGAUGGAAGAGGCUCGUGGAAUUCCCAGUGUAGAGGUGAAAUUCGUAGAUAUUGGGAAGAACACCGGUGGCGAAGGCGGCGAGCUUGGUCCAUUACUGACGCUGAGGCGCGACAGCGUGGGGAGCAAACA